GUCCAGAUACACCUGAAAGAAGAAUGACUCAAGCUGGGUGUGUAAAGCUACACUUUGGAGGAUAGAGCUUCCCACAGGUGCAAUGGAACUCUCACUUCUCACUUGCUCAGAAAUUAUGAUCUGCAGUGUGAGUCUCCCCUGGUAAGGAAACAUGUCCAGCUCCUUGAAACAUGUUCUAGAGAAUAGCAUUCAUUACCCUCCCAUGAACUUAAACAUGCUUCUUGGCUCCUGUGCAUUUUAGGUGUUGAAAUUUCCAGGAUGCAAAACGAAGGGGCAAUUCAAAACAUUCAUCUCCACUUCUCAAAAACAUGGUCCCUGUCACCAUCCACCUCGACUUCAUGUAUCUUCUGCUUCUACCCGUGUAACAAGUACAUAGCUUGUGUUUCCUGAAUGGCUUCCCCCUUCCUGUUGAAACUGCAAGGCCUGCUGCCCUUUGCUCUCUGGGAUCU
rnacentral:lncRNA from 10 species